rnacentral:rRNA from 1 species
GUGGUGUAAGAUGGACCCGCGUCUGAUUAGCUUGUUGGCGGGGUAACGGCCCACCAAGGCGACGAUCAGUAGCCGGCCUGAGAGGGUGGACGGCCACAUUGGGACUGAGACACGGCCCAAACUCCUACGGGAGGCAGCAGUGGGGGAUAUUGGACAAUGGGGGAAACCCUGAUCCAGCGACGCCGCGUGAGUGAAGAAGUAUUUCGGUAUGUAAAGCUCUAUCAGCAGGGAAGAAAGAAAUGACGGUACCUGAGUAAGAAGCCCCGGCUAACUACGUGCCAGCAGCCGCGGUAAUACGUAGGGGGCAAGCGUUAUCCGGAAUUACUGGGUGUAAAGGGAGCGUAGACGGUAAUGCAAGUCUGGAGUGAAAGGCGGGGGCCCAACCCCCGGACUGCUCUGGAAACUGUGUAACUGGAGUGCAGGAGAGGCAGGCGGAAUUCCUAGUGUAGCGGUGAAAUGCGUAGAUAUUAGGAGGAACACCAGUGGCGAAGGCGGCUUGCUGGACUGUAACUGACGUUGAGGCUCGAAAGCGUGGGGAGCAAACAGGAUUAGAUACCCUGGUAGUCCACGCCGUAAACGA